rnacentral:rRNA from 1 species
UGACGGAAAGGCACCACCAGGCGUGGAGCCUGCGGCUUAAUUUGACUCAACACGGGCCAUCUCACCAGGCCAGCACUCUUGUACGAUUGACAGAUUGAGAGCUCUUUCUCGAUUCAGUGGAUGGUGGUGCAUGGCCGUUCUUAGUUGGUGGAGUGAUCUGUCUGGUUAAUUCCGAUAACGAACGAGACUCUCCCCUGCUAACUAGUCGGUUGGAUCUUGAUCAGCGGGUUGCGUGCCGAGUAACUCUCGCUGUGCGUGGUGCGUAGCUGGGCCUCACGGUUCGUUGCGUGCUCGCGUGGUGUUGGAUGCCUUGGAUCACACUGCACCCCAAGUCCGCCGCUUAUGCUAUAACUCUUCUUAGAGGGAUUCACGGCACUGAAGCCGUAAGAGACUGAGAGCAAUAACAGGUCUGUGAUGCCCUUAGAUGCUCUGGGCCGCACGCGCGCUACAAUGCCGGGCACAGCAGGUGUUUCUCCUUCUCCGACAGGAGCGGGUAACCCUCUGAAAGCCAGUGUUCUUGCAAGUGCUUCCUCCCUCGUGGAGUUGCACAGAGGCGUGCUUGGGCCUGGGACUUGCAAUUCUUUCCCACCAACGAGGAAUGCCUAGUA